rnacentral:other from 1 species
GAUACGAACGGAUUCAACAGCUAACAGGAAGUUAGUUGGCAAGGAAAGCAAAAAGGAUAAACCCUAGGAAAGGGUAGGACACCAUCAGGACGAUGGGAAGGACACCGCUCAAGGAACAAGUGAUGAGCGCUAACAGGAAAGUUAGCACAAAGGAUGAAAACGGACACCGCUAGGAAGGCGAUGCAAGGAUUUGACUGAAGGAUUCGGUUUUUUAAGGAUGAUGCAGGAAGCACGUAUUUGUAGCCGGAUUGCUGCACACAAGACUUAAACCCCAGCACUUAGGUGUUGGGGUUUUUCUUAAUU